CGGGGCGUAGCUCAGCCUGGCUAGAGCACUGGCUUUGGGGGUCAGGAGUCGCCGGUUCGAAUCCGGCCGCCCCGA
rnacentral:tRNA from 1 species